UCCGCAGCCGCAACCAUCGCCUCGUUCCCGUGCGCAGCCGUCGCUCCCUCUCCCAGCGCCCGAGCAUCCCCGUCGCUCCCUCUCCCAGCGCCGCCUCCGCCGCCAUGGCCCCUCCCCUUGCGCCCCGAACUGCCUCGCGCACUCGUCGCCCGUUAUACCACAGAGGAGGCGAAGACAGCGGCAGCGCGGCGACCGGCCUACUUCGCCGGUCGCCGCCUCGGCUGCACUCGGCGGGCGCCACGCCGUCUCCUCUCCAUGCGAGUGGCGGAUGGCAGCGAGGAAAGUGGAUCGACCUGGCCAUGGGGAUGGCACUACGACCCCUGCCAGCCUCCCGUGUCGCCGUGCCUCCCUGCAUCGUCGCCUCCGACCUCACCACGUAGUUCCUUUGACGAGUAAUGGGGAUGGAAAUAUAUCAAUGAUGGGGUGUGGUUCGUUCCUGUCAGGAAGGCUGGAAGGCCAUGAAGCGCCGCUUCGAUGAGAUGACCAUGAACUUCCGAUGCGGUUGUUCACCAGUAACAGGUGCGGGUGUUGCUGGUUGAUGGUGGCCUAAGCAUUUGAGUCUAACUGAAAGUGAACCGGAGCGAUGUGCAGAAAAAGAUCUUAGCGCAGAGACUGAAUUUGUAUACUACUUAGAAUUUAUUAGAUCAGGUUAUAUUUCCUUGGUAGCAUGGCAGCAGCACCCAAUCAGACCACAACCGCGGCGGGCGUGCUCUGCGAUCUUGGCCACCGUCUCCAAGGCAGGUACGGCCUACGCCGCCACUGAGAGCUGCCCCUCCUCAUCACCAUCAACGCCGGAAGUUGGGCGCCAAGGUGGAGUCCCUGCAGAAGUUGUUCACCCGGAAGGUCGUCUUCUCCAAGGCGUCCCUAGCCUUCGAACAGGACCGCUCCAUCAAGAUUACUUAGCUUCGGUUUAUAUAUUAGAACGUGGCAAUGGCUCGGAAGACAUCAAAUCUGCCUUCUUGGCUCGGGGGGAGUCAUGGGCGGCGCAUGCCAAGUCCUCCCUUGAUGGCAGUAGCGGAUGGAACACGGGGAAGGGGAUCAAGGCCAAGAGUAGGGUGGUUGGUGAGGAACUCCUCCUUGGCAGUCCAUGGGGAAGUAUGGUGUGAAGGAGAGAGGGUGCCAUGCGAAGGUGAAGUGGGUGUCAUCCAGUUUUAAAGGAGAGGGCUCCAGCGAGAAAUGUCCAGGUAC